GCUGAGGGGCGGGUGAUUGCUGUAAUUGUCCAUUACAGAGGAAAGUCCGGACUCUUAGUAAGCAAAGUGCCGGAUAACGUCCGGCGGUUUUUCUGGGAACGGAAAAGCUAGGGAAAGUGCCACAGAAAUUAUACCGCCUUUCGAGGUAAGGGUGAAAUGGUGCGGUAAGAGCGCACCGCAUGUUUGGCAACAAACAUGGCAGGGCAAACCCCACUUGGAGCAAGACCAAAUAGGCGCAACGAUAGUUGAAACAGACUAUAACAAGGCUUACUUUGUUUGCGCGGGUAGGUCGCUUGAGGUAUGCAGCAAUGUAUAUUCUAGAUGAAUGAUCACCGCAUGGUUACAUGUACAAAAUCCGGCUUAUAGCCCCUCAACAUUC
rnacentral:RNase_P_RNA from 1 species